rnacentral:misc_RNA from 1 species
UCCGGUUUGACACCGGCAGUCUCGCUAGAGUACUCGCCAUGACGCGUGAGCAACUAACGACAGGGGUUGCGCUCGUUAAGGGACUUAACCCGACACUUCACAGCACGAGCUGACGACAGCCAUGCAGCACCUGUGCACGUUCCGGCCUUGCGGCUGUGGCCCUACUUUCAUAGGGUUAAUCCGUACAUGUCAAGCCCAGGUAAGGUUCUUCGCGUUGCGUCGAAUUGAACCACAUGCUCCACCGCUUGUGCGGGCCCCCGUCAAUUCCUUUGAGUUUUAAUCUUGCGACCGUACUUCCCAGGCGGGGCACUUAAUGCGUUAGCUGCGGCACCCAGGGGGUCAAUACCCCGGACACCUAGUGCCCAUCGUUUACAGCGUGGACUAC